rnacentral:rRNA from 1 species
GACGAACCGUGCGAACGUUAUUCGGAAUCACUGGGCUUAAAGCGCGUGUAGGCGGAUGGGUACGUCGGUCGCUGAAAUCCCCCGGCUCAACCGGGGAACGGGCGCCGAAACGACCCGUCUCGAGGGACGUAGGGGGACCUGGAACUUCCGGUGGAGCGGUGAAAUGCGUUGAGAUCGGAAGGAACGCCCGUGGCGAAAGCGAGGUCCUGGACGUCUACUGACGCUGAGACGCGAAAGCCAGGGGAGCAAACGGG